AUCGACCAAACUAACGAGCACCAUUUUAAACUGAUGACUGUUUAUUUAAAUUCUGUUUUACAGGACUUGGACGGCAAAGCUUUCAGAGUUGCCAGAGUUGGAUUUACUUUUUGCCACUUCAGGCAAUCCCAGCGGUGGUAUUUAGAGCAAUUAUGUCUUUAUUCUAAAACAAAUGAGCCGGUUUUAUUUUGUCUGCAUGAUUACUUUGUCGGUUUCAUUUACAGAAGCCGUGAAAACACCCCGAAAUGUAUCCGUUUCUCCAGGAUCCGACUUCAAACGGAACCACUGCUGAAGUACCCUUCGGCAAAGCAGCUUAAGGCCCAUCUGUCCCAGUGGAGCCACACAGCGACCGCCAGCACAACACCGCGGUUGUACCGGGCACUUGUAAGAUGUGUCUCUUCGAGUGUGACCUACCCUCCCUCUUCUUUUUAAAAGAGGGAGAGUGGGCAGUCCACUCACCUCACUUUUUUCUUUUUUCAUGUACUCAGACAGUGAAAAAAGUUUUGGAGAGGACCUAAGAGAGAAAGCUGUGGCAGCAUUCAGUCCUGAGCCAGACACGGUUCACAUGUGGCCCCAAAGGCAGCAGACAGUGUAUUGAAUUACUGUAACUCAAGGUGUAAUGUGGUAGCAGGGAGGGAUAUGUAAGAAUUACACAAACGGAUGUAGAGGAGGCGUACUUCAGCUUCAGGUUUCUAAUUCGGCUAUAAAGUGUUGAAUUGUAUGCUUAAUGUUCUGAAAUUUCACCUAUUACCAAUAAUUAAUUAAAAAGGCAGCCAUAGUGAUCAAAAAAGUCUCAUUAUUAGAUUAAUCAAUUCUAUCAAACUGCUACUGUCCUGUUAACGUUGCAUCUCCAGUUUUUCUUUUAGGUGUUAAUUUACACUAAACAAUUACGUGGUUUGUAGGAGAUAACCUGUCAAACUACGCUGGAUCAACACAUAAAUGCGUGUUGGUUAACUUCAAACCAUAGCUGUGUGUCUUAUGUGGUGUAUAAUUGCAAUUUGCAGUGUCACACCAGCCACAUCUAUAACCAAUAAAGUUUUAUGACACCAUA